CAGCAGCCACGGGAACACGAAGGGUGCAAGCGUUAAUCGGAAUUACUGGGCGUAAAGCGUGCGUAGGCGGUUUGUUAAGUCUGUUGUGAAAUCCCCGGGCUCAACCUGGGAAUGGCAAUGGAUACUGGCAAGCUAGAGUGUGUCAGAGGAUGGUGGAAUUCCCGGUGUAGCGGUGAAAUGCGUAGAGAUCGGGAGGAACAUCAGUGGCGAAGGCGGCCAUCUGGGACAACACUGACGCUGAGGCACGAAAGCGUGGGGAGCAAACAGGAUUAGAUACCCCAGUAGUCCCUGUCUCUUAUAC
rnacentral:rRNA from 1 species